AACGCACAUUGCGCCCGCUAGUAUUCUGGCGGGCAUGCCUGUUCGAGCGUCAUUUCAACCCUCAAGCUCUGCUUGGUGUUGGGAAUCGGCGUAGCGGCCUUCGGGCAGCUGCCGUUCCCUAAAUCUAGUGGCGGUCCCGCUUUAGCGUCCUCUGCGUAGUAGUUUUCUCCUCGCACCGGCAGCUUAGUGGCGACCUCGCCGUAAAACCCCCAACUUCUGAAAGGUUGACCUCGAAUCAGGUAGGAAUACCCGCUGAACUUAA
rnacentral:misc_RNA from 1 species